rnacentral:rRNA from 1 species
UCGUGCCCGGCUAGUCCUCGUAGCAAGGUUUGGUCCCUGGUGGCGAGCGGCGGACGGGUGAGUAAUGCAUAGGAAUCUGCCCGGUAGUGGGGGAUAACCUGGGGAAACCCAGGCUAAUACCGCAUACGUCCUACGGGAGAAAGCAGGGGCUCUUCGGACCUUGCGCUAUCGGAUGAGCCUAUGUCGGAUUAGCUGGUUGGUGAGGUAAUGGCUCACCAAGGCGACGAUCCGUAGCUGGUCUGAGAGGAUGAUCAGCCACACUGGGACUGAGACACGGCCCAGACUCCUACGGGAGGCAGCAGUGGGGAAUAUUGGACAAUGGGCGCAAGCCUGAUCCAGCCAUGCCGCGUGUGUGAAGAAGGCCCUCGGGUUGUAAAGCACUUUCAGCGAGGAAGAAGGCUUGGCGGCUAAUACCCGUCAAGAAGGACAUCACUCGCAGAAGAAGCACCGGCUAACUCCGUGCCAGCAGCCGCGGUAAUACGGAGGGUGCGAGCGUUAAUCGGAAUUACUGGGCGUAAAGCGCGCGUAGGUGGUUUGGCACGCCGGUUGUGAAAGCCCCGGGCUCAACCUGGGAACGGCAUCCGGAACGGCCAGACUAGAGUGCAGGAGAGGAAGGUAGAAUUCCCGGUGUAGCGGUGAAAUGCGUAGAGAUCGGGAGGAAUACCAGUGGCGAAGGCGGCCUUCUGGCCUGACACUGACACUGAGGUGCGAAAGCGUGGGUAGCAAACAGGAUUAGAUACCCUGGUAGUCCACGCCGUAAACGAUGUCUACUAGCCGUUGGGACCUUUUAGGACUUAUUGGCCCAGUUACCGCGAUAAGUCCAACGCCCUGGGGA